GGAUACACAGAGAAAAGAAACUCCGCUACAUUUUUACUCUCCUCUUCGUUUCUUCUCGGACCAAAAACCAAACCACAGAACAUAAACGAUUUCUUCUUCUUCGUUUCCUCUCGAAUCCCUGAAUCUAUGUUUCAUUUCCAAUUUUCUAUGUAAUUCAUUCCGUUCUCAAACAAAAACGAAGCAAAAUAAAGAACUAGGGAUUCUGAUUUUUGAUUUUUGAUUUUUCUUUUGUCCAAUUGGGUAUUUUUAGGUCAUCCAUGAAAAUGGUGGAAUCAGAUGAAGAAGAUAACUCCAACAAACUUGGGCGAAACCUCUCUAAGAAUAAAUGAUAUGAAAGAUCUUUUCAACAAGCUGGACACAAGUAAACUGAAUGCUCAUCUCAAAGUAAUCAUGCCAGGCCUCCCAACCGUGAUUAAUGGCAGUUAAAAUAUCACAACCAAAGGAGGUUGCAGAACUAUUUCGCAAAUCCCAUCCUGCCCAAAUGUUAAGUUGAAUGAAGAAGUUUAAACGAAACUCCAAUUUCAGAAGUCCAAUGUGUCGUUUUCUUUUGAACCGAAUAACCGAUGUUACCAGUGCAUACUGCAAGGUUGCAGAACUAUUUCGCAAAUCCCAAACUUUGAAUGAAGAAGUUUGAACGAAACUCCAAUUUCAGAAGUCCAAUGUGUCGUUUUCUUUUGAACCGAAUAACUGAUGUUACCAGUGCAUACUGCAAGGUGGCUUAAUGAUCGUGUAAGCUCGAAUUCAGUAGUGGAUUGGUACCACAACGAAUGAAGGCCAACAAUCCUUGCUCUUCUUCGACAAAUGGAUGACAGUUAACAACCCAAUUGAUUGAAGUUGUAUAACUUUUCAUGUAAGUUGUAUGGCACAAGCCUUGAUAAAAAUGGAUGGGUUCGCUUCAAUUUCUUGACUUCUACAUUCAGUUGCGUCGAACUGGCGCCUUGGAAGUGGAACUGUCCUUGUUAGGAUUAAUACCUUAGAAUUAACCUCUUCACAAGACACUAGUUCUUUGGAUCACGUAGAACUAAAGAAAACAGAAAAUAAGAUGUACUAAACGAAACAAUAAAGACACAAGAUUUAACGUGGUUCGGCAA